rnacentral:rRNA from 1 species
UACGUAGGGAGCGAGCGUUAUCCGGAAUUACUGGGUGUAAAGGGCGCGUAGGCGGGCAAGCAAGUCAGAUGUGAAAUGCCGGGGCUUAACUCCGGAGCUGCAUUUGAAACUGUUAGUCUUGAGUGCAGGAGAGGAAAGCGGAAUUCCUAGUGUAGCGGUGAAAUGCGUAGAUAUUAGGAGGAACACCAGUGGCGAAGGCGGCUUUCUGGACUGUAACUGACACUGAGGUACGAAAGCGUGGGGAGCAAACAGG